rnacentral:rRNA from 1 species
GUGGGGAAUUUUGCGCAAUGGGCGAAAGCCUGACGCAGCGACGCCGCGUGAGGGAUGAAGGUCUUCGUGAUCGUAAACCUUUGUCAGGAAGGAUUAACAUACGGGUGCUAAUACCGCCCGUUGUUUGACUUAACUUCCAGAGGAAGCCCCGGCUAACUACGUGCCAGCAGCCGCGGUAAUACGUAGGGGGCAAGCGUUACUCGGAUUCAUUGGGCGUAAAGCGAAUGUAGGCGGUUCAGUAAGUCAGGGGUGAAAUCCCUCAGCUUAACUGAGGAAUUGCCUUUGAUACUGCCGAACUUGAGGACAGGAGAGGAAAGUGGAAUUCCCGGUGUAGCGGUGGAAUGCGUAGAUAUCGGGAGGAACACCAGAGGCGAAGGCGGCUUUCUGGACUGAUCCUGACGCUGAGAUUCGAAAGCCAGGGGAGCAAACAGGAUUAGAUACCCGAGUAGUCC